rnacentral:rRNA from 1 species
UUAAAUUGAAGAGUUUGAUCAUGGCUCAGAUUGAACGCUGGCGGCAGGCCUAACACAUGCAAGUCGAACGGUAACAGGAAGCAGCUUGCUGAUU